AAAAAAAAUGUAUUCCAGACAUUUCUAGUAAUUACUUACAGAUUUGUGUACUAGGUUGUAGGGAAGAAAUAAUUUUUUAAAAAAAUUUCCCAACAGUAUCUGAAAAGAUUAUGUCUAUUAUAAAAGUGCAAAAUACUUUAAGACUAGUAAUGUUAAGGUUAGCAACUGAAAAUAAUGACCCAAAUAAGAAAAAAAGCUUUAUGAACCAAGUGUUUUGAUUUUGGUGGCAUUCUCUUUUCUGCAGAAAAGCCAACUUAGUUGUUUUAGUGCGUCAUCUUAGUUUUGGGGAUGAUGUGUUUGGUCUGGUUCCCUUGCUAGCAUCAUAUUCUAGGGCACAAUAUUUCUAUUCUGUUAAGUUUUUGGCAUGUAUAUGAUUUAACCAGUUGAGUAUAGUUGACAUGGUUAUAUAUGUAACACUAUUUAAUUCUCUAUAGUGUUUUGCUAGUAAGAUUAUUAAAAACUGAUAACUGGUUAAAAUACUGAAACAAGAAAUAUUGUAACAGGAAAUAUUUAAACUGCUAUUAAUGUGUUUAUCAUUCACAUUUGCAGAAAACUAGUUUGAUGAGAAAUGUUCUUAUUAAUGCACUAAUAGAAACAUAUUACCUGUGGAAACAUAUAAUAUACAUAACAUUUAUUAAUUCAUUCAAUAAAUAUUUAUUGGCAUCUGCUAUGUGCCAAAUACUAUUCUGGACAUUGGAGAUACUGCAAGGAACAAAGCAAUGCCUUCCCUUCUAGAGCUUACUAUAAAUAUAACUCAUAACAUUGACAAUGGGUUUAAAUUAAAAUAAUUUAUCUUUUAUUAAAUAGUGUCUAAAAGUCAUGAGUUCACAAUGUAGAGAUUUUUUAGGAGACAGACUGCUACACUUAAAAAAUGUUCAUUAUAGGGAAGUGACUUUUAGAGUGGAUUGAAUUUCUUAUUUUAGUAAAUAUUUUAGAGAUAUCAUAUCUGGAGACACAUCUGUCAAGAUCACUUCAGUAAGCCUCUGGUGUUCACUCCAAAACAAGAGUGGGACUCUGUGAUUGGGAUGUGAAGACAUGCAAAAAAUUGAGUCUUUUUUAAGAAAGGGAGGCAGGCAAAUGUAGUUAGAAGGAAACAGUGAUAUGUUUAGAUGCACCACAGGCAAAUUAAAAACUUGCUUGCCUUUGAAAAAUAAAGACUAACAUUUUCAUAUGGGCACCACUUAACUCUUAACUUCUUGAAUGAAAUGAUUUGUCAAUUUUCUUUUCAAUUAUAAGAAAAUAAUGGCAGAAGUUUGUCUUGGCAAACCAUGCUGAAAACUUUGUUCAUCAAAUCAUAUACACAUAUCAAUCCAUCUCAUAUACACAAGUAUGACUCAUCACAAUGACAUGUUAAUGUUUGUCAGUCUUAACUGUACCAUCAAUAGUCGGGCCUCCCUUAUUAUCCCACUUCUCUUUUGUUUCAGCUUUUUUCCAUCACCCAGUUUCAUUUCUGAUAAGGCACUAAAGAUUUUAGCUUAUUCUUGAAUCUCCUUAAUUUACCUUAUAAGCAAUUGGAAGUUCUCCCUACAAAGAUUUUCUGAAAAAGAAGCUCUAGUGUUGAAUUUUACUCUUGGAUUUAAUAUAUGUCAUAAUUAGAGUUCAGAAUUAAUUUGAGCUGCUUUGAAAAUAUAUCUAAAAUCAGGAGCCCAAAAUAAUAUAAAAUGGUCAAGGGAAAGCAACUCGAGAAAUACAUGGUUUAGGGAAUAAUUGCUGUUUCUAAUUUGUCUUGUAUACUGUUUUCAUCUGACAAACUUCAGCUUCGCUUUGUAAGCUUUUGUAUUGAUUCUCUAUCAUAAAUAAUAGAAAUGGUCACAUCACCAGAGACUUUGCUGGGGGGAUAAUAAAUGACUUGGUAAGAGCACUCUAAAUCUC